AAAUUGAAGAGUUUGAUCAUGGCUCAGAUUGAACGCUGGCGGCAGGCCUAACACAUGCAAGUCGAGCGGUAGCACAGAGAGCUUGCUCUCGGGUGACGAGCGGCGGACGGGUGAGUAAUGUCUGGGAAACUGCCUGAUGGAGGGGGAUAACUACUGGAAACGGUAGCUAAUACCGCAUAACGUCGCAAGACCAAAGUGGGGGACCUUCGGGCCUCAUGCCAUCAGAUGUGCCCAGAUGGGAUUAGCUAGUAGGUGGGGUAACGGCUCACCUAGGCGACGAUCCCUAGCUGGUCUGAGAGGAUGACCAGCCACACUGGAACUGAGACACGGUCCAGACUCCUACGGGAGGCAGCAGUGGGGAAUAUUGCACAAUGGGCGCAAGCCUGAUGCAGCCAUGCCGCGUGUGUGAAGAAGGCCUUCGGGUUGUAAAGCACUUUCAGCGGGGAGGAAGGCGGUGAGGUUAAUAACCUCAUCGAUUGACGUUACCCGCAGAAGAAGCACCGGCUAACUCCGUGCCAGCAGCCGCGGUAAUACGGAGGGUGCAAGCGUUAAUCGGAAUUACUGGGCGUAAAGCGCACGCAGGCGGUCUGUCAAGUCGGAUGUGAAAUCCCCGGGCUCAACCUGGGAACUGCAUUCGAAACUGGCAGGCUAGAGUCUUGUAGAGGGGGGUAGAAUUCCAGGUGUAGCGGUGAAAUGCGUAGAGAUCUGGAGGAAUACCGGUGGCGAAGGCGGCCCCCUGGACAAAGACUGACGCUCAGGUGCGAAAGCGUGGGGAGCAAACAGGAUUAGAUACCCUGGUAGUCCACGCUGUAAACGAUGUCGAUUUGGAGGUUGUGCCCUUGAGGCGUGGCUUCCGGAGCUAACGCGUUAAAUCGACCGCCUGGGGAGUACGGCCGCAAGGUUAAAACUCAAAUGAAUUGACGGGGGCCCGCACAAGCGGUGGAGCAUGUGGUUUAAUUCGAUGCAACGCGAAGAACCUUACCUGGUCUUGACAUCCACAGAACUUUCCAGAGAUGGAUUGGUGCCUUCGGGAACUGUGAGACAGGUGCUGCAUGGCUGUCGUCAGCUCGUGUUGUGAAAUGUUGGGUUAAGUCCCGCAACGAGCGCAACCCUUAUCCUUUGUUGCCAGCGGU
rnacentral:rRNA from 1 species